rnacentral:rRNA from 1 species
UACGUAGGGGGCAAGCGUUGUCCGGAUUUAUUGGGCGUAAAGAGCGCGCAGGCGGCGUGCAAGUCGCGUGUGAAAGCCCCCGGCUCAACUGGGGAGGGUCACGCGAUACUGUUCGACUCGAAGGCAGGAGAGGGAAGCAGAAUUCCCGGUGUAGUGGUGAAAUGCGUAGAUAUCGGGAGGAAUACCAGUGGCGAAGGCGGCUUCCUGGCCUGUUCUUGACGCUGAGGCGCGAAAGCUAGGGUAGCAAACGGG